UACGAAGGGGGCUAGCGUUGCUCGGAAUCACUGGGCGUAAAGCGCACGUAGGCGGAUUGCUAAGUCAGGGGUGAAAUCCUGGAGCUCAACUCCAGAACUGCCUUUGAUACUGGCGACCUUGAGUCCGGGAGAGGUGAGUGGAACUGCGAGUGUAGAGGUGAAAUUCGUAGAUAUUCGCAAGAACACCAGUGGCGAAGGCGGCUCACUGGCCCGGUACUGACGCUGAGGUGCGAAAAGCGUGGGGAGCAACAGGG
rnacentral:rRNA from 1 species